GAUGAACGCUAGCUACAGGCUUAACACAUGCAAGUCGAGGGACCGGCGCACGGGUGAGUAACGCGUAUCCAACCUCCCGCAUACUCGGGGAUAGCCUUCUGAAAGGAAGAUUAAUACCCGAUGGUAUGCGAUGGGGAGGCGUUCCAUUCGGUAGUAGGCGGGGUAACGGCCCACCUAGCCAUCGAUGGCUAGGGGUUCUGAGAGGAAGGUCCACCACAUUGGAACUGAGACACGGUCCAAACUCUACGGGAGGCAGCAGUGAGGAAUAUUGGUCAAGGGGCGAGAGCCUGAACCAGCCAAGUAGCGUGAAGGAUGACUGCCUAUGGGUGGUAAACUUCUUGUGUCCGGGAAUAUGUACCGGUAGAAUAAGCAUCGGCUAACUCCGUGCCAGCAGCCGCGGUAAUAC
rnacentral:rRNA from 1 species